CGGUGUUCCUGAGAGUAUAAUGAGUAGAUCAGCGGGAGUGGGAGGGGCGGGCGCCGGAUGUGACGUUUCCGGAAGCUCCGGGUGUCGUCCGCGGGGACAGAACUUCUUGGUCCUGAUGUCUGACCAUGGAGACGUGAGCCUUCCGCCCGAAGACCGGGUGAGGGCUCUCUCCCAGAUGGGUAGUGCAGUGGAGAUAAAUGAAGACAUUCCACCCCGACGGUACUUCCGCUCUGGAGUCGAGAUUAUCCGAAUGGCAUCCAUUUACUCUGAGGAAGGCAACAUUGAACAUGCCUUCAUCCUCUAUAACAAGUAUAUCACGCUCUUUAUUGAGAAACUGCCAAAGCAUCGGGAUUACAAAUUGGCUGUCAUUCCUGAAAAGAAAGACACAGUAAAGAAGUUAAAGGAGAUUGCAUUUCCCAAAGCAGAAGAGCUGAAGGCAGAGCUAUUGAAACGAUAUACCAAAGAAUAUACAGAAUAUAAUGAAGAAAAGAAGAGGGAAGCGGAAGAGCUUGCCCGGAAUGUGGCCAUCCAGCAGGAGCUGGAGAAGGAGAGGCAGAGGGUGGCACAGCAGAAACAGCAGCAGUUGGAGCAGGAGCAGUUCCAUGCCUUUGAGGAGAUGAUCCGGAACCAGGAGCUGGAAAAGGAGCGACUAAAAAUCGUGCAGGAGUUUGGGAAGGUGGACCCUGGCCUAGGGGGCCCACUCGUGCCUGACUUGGAGAAGCCCUCCCCAGAUGUGUUCCCCGCUGUACCUGCCACAUCCACACAGCCUGCGGACUGUAAUACGGCGGGAAGGCCUGCCAAGCCACCCGUGGUGGACAGGUCCUUGAAACCUGGAGCGUUGAGCAACUCAGAAAGUACUCCUACAAUCGACGGACUGCGCCAUGUGGUGGUGCCUGGGAGGCUCUGCCCGCAGUUCCUCCAGUUAGCCAGUGCCAACACUGCCCGGGGAGUAGAGACAUGUGGAAUUCUCUGUGGAAAACUGAUGAGGAAUGAAUUCACCAUUACCCAUGUUCUCAUCCCCAAGCAAAGUGCCGGGUCUGAUUAUUGCAACACCGAGAACGAAGAAGAACUUUUCCUCAUACAGGAUCAGCAGGGUCUCAUCACACUGGGCUGGAUUCAUACUCAUCCCACGCAGACCGCCUUCCUCUCCAGUGUUGACCUACACACUCAUUGUUCCUACCAGAUGAUGUUGCCAGAGUCAAUAGCCAUUGUUUGCUCCCCCAAGUUCCAGGAAACUGGAUUCUUUAAACUAACUGACCAUGGACUAGAGGAGAUUUCCUCCUGUCGCCAGAAAGGAUUUCAUCCACACAGCAAGGAUCCACCUCUCUUCUGCAGCUGCAGCCACGUGACCGUUGUGGACAGAGCAGUGACCAUCACAGACCUUCGAUGAGAACUUGACUUGAACACCUCCCAAGAAUUAUAAAACCAUACCAGUGUACUGUAGCCCCUUAAUUUAAACUUUCCAGAAAGCUCUGAAAGCUUUUUUAGACAGAAUUGAAACUAAGUGGAAGACCUGAAAGAUCAAUAAUCAAUGAAGAAAUGGAGAAAAGUGUACAAGUAUUAUCUCCAUAUGCUUCUAUGAAUGAGUUCUUUCAAACUUUCAAGGAACAGGAAGAUGUCUUCUCUGUUAAGGUCAUUGCUGCCUGGAUGAGACCCAUCCCUUUUGUGGUAGAUACUCUGCAUAACUCAAAGACUACUGAUUUAAAUGAUGUCUCCAGAGGAAGAUGGCACAGAAUAUCAGAUUUGCCCAAAUGAGAUUCCUCUCUCUAGAAGACUGGCCUUUUAUGUCCUACCUGCUUUGGUAGUUCUGGGUGACUACAAACAGGUAUGUUUUCAUAGUUUAUUUUAGUGGGAGGAUCAUUGAGAUGCUGAAAAGGGCAUUUUAUGAAAUCCAACUCCCAAUGAAUAGCUCUUAAACCUAGAAUGGAGCAAUAUGUCCUUAAGAUGAAAAACAAUGCAAAUUAUAUUGAAUAAUACUAGAGUAGGGUCCUCAGUGUUGUAUUGGGAAAGAAGAUGCUUCAAUAUUACCUGUGUAGCUAACAAAGCACAGUCACCUGGAUCCCCCCCUCAGACGUAAUGAACCAAAACCUGUGAAGGUUGGAGGGGAUGGGUUAAGAACACUGAACUAGACACAUUUUCAUUAAAGACAAGAAUGCCAUUUGUAAGGGCAAAACAUUAAACAUUGUUCUGAAAGUUCUAAAUAGUGUAAUAAAAAUAAGAAAAUAAAUCAAAGGUAGAGAUAUUGGUUGAAAUAAAUAUUUUCAGAUGAUAGAUUAUCUACCUAGGAAAGAAAAACUUCAAACUAAUGAGUUUAAGAUGACUAGAUAAUGUGUGUAUAAUAUAUAUGUGUACAUAAUAAAAUGUUUAUAUUUCCUAUACAUCAGUAAUGAGUUGGAAAAUAUAACAAAAAUGUAUGGGGCACCAGGAUGGCUCAGUCAGUUAAGCGUCUGACUUUGGCUCAGGUCAUGAUCUCAAGGUGUGUGAGUUCGAGCCCCGAUAGGGCUCUGUGCUGACAGCUCAGAGCCUGGAGCCUGCUUGGGAUUCUGUGUCUCCCUCUCUCUCUGGCCCUCCCCCGCUCACACUGUGGUGUCUCAGUCUCUCUCUCUCUCUCUCUCUCUCUCUCUCUCUCUCUCUCAAAAAUAAAUAAGCAUUAAAAAGGAAAUAUGACAAAAAUGUUAAUGUAGUAGCAAAUAGGGGUGCCUGGGUGACUGAGUCAGUCAAGCAUUCGACUUCACCUUAGGUUGUGGUCUCUCAGUUUGUGGGUUCAAGCCCCUCAUAGGGCUCGCUGCUGUCAAAGUGGGGCCCGCUUGGGAUCCUGUGUCCCCCAUCUUUGCCCCUCCCCUGCUUGUUCUCUCUUCCUCUCAAAAAUAAAAUAAACAUUUAAAAAAUACAUAUACAGAUAGUAGCAAAUAAAAAUACAAAAACCUAGUUAAGGAAAACAGAACUGUGCAGGACCUAUAUGAUGAAAUCUUGGUGAUGUUAUUGAGGAAGAUAAAGAAAGUUUUGAAUAGGUGGAAAGACAUAAGUGGAAAGUCCAACAGUAUAAAGAUAUAAACAGUAUAUAAAUUAGUAUAAAAUUCAGUGUAAUUCCAGUUAGGAUCUCAAAUUUUUUAGGGGGGAUUUGGUGAAAGAAUUUCACAAAAUGAUUUUAAAGUUUUUCUGGAAGAACAAAUAAACAGUAAUAACCAAGAAAUGUUUGAAAGAGAGUAACAAUGCAAUAUUUAUUUCUGCAUAUAUUAAAACCUAGAGCUGAAUGAAAUAAGUCAUACAGAGAAAGAUAGAUACCAUAUGUUUUCAGUCUUAUGUGGAUCCUGAGAAACUUAACAGAAGACCAUGGGGGAGGGGAAGGAAAAAAAAAAGUUAGAGAGGGAGGGAGCCAAACCAUAAGAGACUCUUAAAAACUGAGAAUAAACUGAGUGUUGAUUGGGAGUGGGAGGGAGGGAAGAGUGGGUGAUGGGCAUUGAGGAGGGCACCUGUUGGAAGGAGCACUGGGUGUUGUAUGGAAACCAGUUUGACAAUAAAUUUCAUAUUAAAAAAAAAAACAAAAAAAAACCCCACUGAUUUAAAUUAAAAAAAACAAAAACAAAAAAAAACCCUAGAGCUGUAUUUAAAAUGGUGAGAUAGGGGCGCCUGGGUGGCUCAGUCGGUUAAGCAUCCGACUUCAGCUCAGGUCACGAUCUCACGGUCUGUGAGUCCGUGAGUUCGAGCCCCGCAUCGGGCUCUGGGCUGAUGGCUCAGAGCCUGGAGCCUGCUUCCGAUUCUGUGUCUCCCUUUCUCUCUGCCCCUCCCCUGUUCAUGCUCUAUCUCUCUCUGUCUCAAAAAUAAAUAAACGUUUGGGGCGCCUGGGUGGCGCAGUCGGUUAAGCGUCCGACUUCAGCCAGGUCACGAUCUCACUGUCCGUGAGUUCGAGCCCCGCGUCAGGCUCUGGGCUGAUGGCUCGGAGCCUGGAGCCUGUUUCCGAUUCUGUGUCUCCCUCUCUCUCUGCCCCUCCCCCGUUCAUGCUCUGUCUCUCUCUGUCCCAAAAACAAAUAAAAAACGUUGAA